rnacentral:misc_RNA from 1 species
GUCGACCUUCGAACACGACAGAAAGGCUCGCUUGGGGCAUGGCUGGGUUACUUAGACUUCUCUGACGAAGUCUGCAGCAUCGAUUCGCCCCGGCGUCGCCUUCUCACGCCGUUCUCAGCCCUCACCGUCGGCUUCGCGUGUAGCAGCGCGUCGACCAGCUCUCACACGCCUUUUGAGGGCUUCCAGUUGAGAUGGCUUGCAGGACAUAUCUGCAGAAGAUGCUGGGCGAACGGAGACAGCCGGCCAAGCGGUGGACGUGGAGGAGACGGGAUCUCCGUUUCGAGGACGGCUCGAAGGCUGGCUCGUCGCGCCGUUCGAGGUGGGCGCGACCUGUAGACGGAUCAGUAGACUGCAAAGAGUGCUUCGAG